UGUGAGUGAUGAGAUUUCUACCCUGAUGAAAACUGAGGGUGAAAACUGAUUUAAUGAGCCUGACGC